GACGAACGCUUGCGACGUGCCUAAGAAAUGCAAGUCGAACGGGAGGAGCAAUCCUCUAGUGGCGAACGGUCGCGUAACACGUGGGCAACCUGCCUCGAAGCGGGGGACAACAAUCCGAAAGGGUUGCUAAUACCGCAUACGAAUUGCUCCGGCAUCGGAGAGGAUUCAAAGCCGCAAGGCACUUCGAGAUGGGCCCGCGGCCUAUCAGCUUGUUGGUGGGGUAACGGCCUACCAAGGCGACGACGGGUAGCUGGUCUGAGAGGACGAUCAGCCGGAU
rnacentral:rRNA from 1 species